rnacentral:rRNA from 1 species
GUGGAUUAGAUACCCUGGUAGUCCACGCCCUAAACGGUGCACACUAGGUCUUGGCGGAUUCGACCCCCCCAGGGCCCAAGCUAACGCGUUAAGUGUGCCGCCUGAGGACUACGGCCGCAAGGCUAAAACUCAAAGGAAUUGACGGGGGCCCGCACAAGCGGUGGAGCAUGUGGCUCAAUUCGAUGCAACGCGAAGAACCUUACCAGGCCUUGACAUGCACUUGACCGAAGCUGAAAGGCUUCUUUCCCGCAAGGGACAGGUGCACAGGUGCUGCACGGCCGUCGCCAACU